UGGUGACUGUAGGUCAUGAAUAAGCAACGGCUAAUUACGUGCCAGCAGCCGCGGUAACACGUAAGUUGCGAGCGUUGUUCGGAAUUAUUGGGCGUAAAGGGUGCGUAGGCGGUUUGAUAAGUUUGGUGUGAAAUCUCUGGGCUCAACCCAGAGUCUGCAUCGAAAACUGUCGGGCUUGAGUAUGGGAGAGGUGAGUGGAAUUUCCGGUGUAGCGGUGAAAUGCGUAGAUAUCGGAAGGAACACCUGUGGCGAAAGCGGCUCACUGGACCAUAACUGACGCUGAGGCACGAAAGCUAGGGGAGCAAACAGGAUUAGAUACCCUGGUAG
rnacentral:ncRNA from 1 species